rnacentral:rRNA from 1 species
GACGAACGCUGGCGGCGUGCUUAACACAUGCAAGUCGAACGGAAAGGCCCUGCUUUUGUGGGGUGCUCGAGUGGCGAACGGGUGAGUAACACGUGAGUAACCUGCCCUUGACUUUGGGAUAACUUCAGGAAACUGGGGCUAAUACCGGAUAGGAGCUCCUGCUGCAUGGUGGGGGUUGGAAAGUUUCGGCGGUUGGGGAUGGACUCGCGGCUUAUCAGCUUGUUGGUGGGGUAGUGGCUUACCAAGGCUUUGACGGGUAGCCGGCCUGAGAGGGUGACCGGCCACAUUGGGACUGAGAUACGGCCCAGACUCCUACGGGAGGCAGCAGUGGGGAAUAUUGCAUAAUGGGCGGAAGCCUGAUGCAGUAACGCCGCGUGCGGGAUGACGGCCUUCGGGUUGUAAACCGCUUUCGCCUGUGACGAAGCGUGAGUGACGGUAAUGGGUAAAGAAGCACCGGCUAACUACGUG